UUCGUGGGUGCCGAUGAUAGCUGAGCUCU
rnacentral:piRNA from 1 species